rnacentral:lncRNA from 1 species
GCGUCUGGGCCCGGCCCCGGCGCGGGGGGCAGACGGCGGUGGGACGGCCAGGCCCCGGCCCCGCCAGUGUGUCCGCCCGGCCCCGCGUCCCGGAGCGCCCGCACCCGGCCCCGCCGCCGCCUCAGGUGGUCUCUGGCUGGCGCAGAUACAACUGCUCUGUCUACCAUGGUCUCUGCAAGCUACAGGGGACCUUCCUGGCAGGCAGGGACGCGGGAAGGAAGCCUAGGAAGGCCGGGGUCAGCGAGGAGACGCUGGUGGAGAAUCUGAGAACCCCCGUGGCCAUCUCAACCUACCCCUUCACAGUAUGAGGCCGCGAAGUUUUUCUCCCACGAACACUUCCCCUGCAACAGAGCAAGAAAGCUUUCUGCUCAGCCAUGGCUACGAGUCCACGCCUUAAUGCACCCCACAGCCAGCGGCAGUGGCAGUGACAACAGCGGGACCUGCCUUUGAAGAUCGGCUGCUGCAAGGGUUGAUGGCUGGCAUGUCGCAAAGACCCCCCAGCAUGUACUGGUGUGUGGGGCCGGAGGAGUCAGCUGUGUGUCCAGAACGUGCCAUGGAGACGCUUAACG